rnacentral:antisense_RNA from 1 species
CUCUAUGGUCGGGCCUUGACGGGGGAGCGCUCGCGCUCGCCGGUUUCCUAUUCGCCGGUACGCCAACCUCGUCUUGCGCCUGGCCACCCCG